rnacentral:lncRNA from 1 species
GUGCUCUCUUUAAUUUGUUAUAUUAAACUCAUUUUCUUUGAUUUAUACUUUUUUGUUCUUUGUUAAAUUUUACUUUAGUAGUCUGAUAACUAUGUGUUUAUGUUUAUGUAGGGUUCAAAGUUGACAUGGUUAGAGAAGUCUAAGGAACAAAAGUUUAGAAUGAGAAUUUUGAUAAAGAGAUUCCUAAGGAGAAGCUUAAGAAACCGUAAGCCUAUCGUUACAAAUUGUAUUUGUUUAUUCUGAUUUAAUACAUAGCUAUUGAUUAUUCUAUUAUGCUCAUUUGGUACAAUGAUAUUCCACGUUCACCCAUAUGAUAAUCUAAUUUCUGAAUAUAAUUGUUAACUACAUCGCUGGUAUGACUCCCUCUCUUUUUCUUACCAAUACUUAUUUUAUGCUUACCAAUCGUUUGAUAGAACGAUAUUUUAAUUGUAAAAUUUAUGUAAUUUAAUUGUUUGAUUUUAAAACUUUCAGUUGUGAAGUUUGUAGCCAUGGUGAGAUGAUUCUUUUGCAAAAAGGGUCUGGUGAAACUUUUCGAUGCCGUUUAUGACUCGGUUAAGAUAAUUUUAAAGUUUGCUCUUGAUAAAAAAAAAUCUCAUUUUUGUGUGUGUUUUCUUUCUCAUUUACUUAUGAAUUAUGUACAUAUAAUUUCACAUAAUAUCCUAACACUAUUUGUUUCGUUUGCGUGUAGAAGAAUCUAAUUGUGAGAGCAAACAAAGAUAUUUAGGAAAACAAUGGAGGUUUACUGUCUAAGAUUCAUAGGUUAGUCCUAAUUUUCAUCUUUUUUUUUUGUUUUAAACUCUAAUUCAAGAUUUUUAUAACUAAAUAGUAACAUAUGUGUUGUUUUUCCUUUAUAAAGAAUGAGAAUUAAUUCUUUGUUUCAAAGGUGAGUUCUAUUUUUCAUCAUUUUCAAUUAUGUGAUUCUUAUUUUAUUGGUUUCUUCUAAAAUAUUCAAUAUUUUUACUCAAUAAAACUGUUUAUUUUUAAUGAUUGCAGACAUGUCAUUCACAUGUAUGUAGAAGAACUGCAAGUGAGAGAUCUAAGCAACGCUAUGAGGCAAAAUCUACAAAAAGUUAACUCAAAGUACGUUUUCAAUUUUAUUGGUUCCAAAGUUUAUGGUAAUAGAUCAUCCCUUUAAAGAUAUACUCCUACAUUUACAUGAAAUCAACCUAAUUCAUGUCUGAAAUUCAGAGAUAUAUUUAUAAAAGAAAAUGUUUGAUUGAGAAACUUGCGCAAGUUAACGUGUAGAUAAAAAUAAAUUGAGAAUCGUUUAUUGGUCUAUUAGUCUAUUUAGUUUUUUUUUCUUAUUCGUCUUCAUUUUUCCAAUGGUGUAACUUACUUUUUUUUUUGUGUGGUUUUGAUGACAUAAUUUCAGAAAAAAAAAUAUUUCAAAGAUCAUGAAAGUCAGGUUAGACUAUUCUUCCAAUUGUUCUAAUUUUUACAACUCCAUUUUUUUUUUACCUUUUGCAGAGAUAUAAAAGUGUGGAAGGAUUAAUUCCAUCUUCCAAGUUUAAAGUGCCUCCAGAGUGAGGCUCAACAAUAAAUAAGUUUUUUCGUUUUCUAUAACAAAGUGAUUAUGAAGUGAAAUUGGAAGAAUUUGAUUGGUUGUUUAGAGUUUUUUUUGUCCUGUUUUAAUGUUCUAUUCUGUUUCAAGAUUUAAUUUUGUAUUUUUUAUGUUCAACUGUUAAUUGAUUCAAAUUACAGUCUGAAUCAAUCUUAC